UAGCUUUGAAACGAAUCACGAGCCGUAGCGUUGCCAUAUGUCCGCGUGAUCUACAGCGAGCUGUGAUCUAAACCAUUCAAUCAAAACCAGUGACCGGCAGCUGAGGGCUACGUCCCAUAUGGUGCUGUUUCUGUGGGGCGAUGGCUUCGCUGGUGACCGUCACACUGCCUGAAGGGAAACGUUGAGGCGCCGUGACCUCUUUACAACAAUACAGCACUUCUCCAGCCAUCACAUUUCAACAGCGACUCUAGCAGCCAUCUGCCCUUCAAUUCCCUCUCAAACUCACGCUGACAGGCGAACAGCAGUGGAACCGUUGAGUACUUUUGUUGAAAUACGCACAGAAGUUAAAGUGCGACAACUUGCCCCGCUGCCUCCUCACCAGAUCUACCGAUUCACAGAAAUCAUCCUCACAAUGAGAUAUGAGGCAGCACCUUUUACCUCGAGGAGCUACAAUAUCUGAAGAGAUGGCAACAGUCUGGCAGUCCACAGAAGAAGGCUGAACGCGUACGAGGAAAAAUCAGCGAGCGCACGGAUGAGGAAAAAAUCCCGUAACUUUACCUACGACUUUAGUUAAGUAACGUGACCCAGACGCCAAUUUCUCUUCCCGUGAUUCAUGUUUGCAGGAGGGUGGGCGGCCGAGGAAGAAAACUAAAGCAGCUUUUGUCUGCAUCUUUAUUUCUCUCUUGGCGUUUAGUCGAGCCGGUCAAUCGUGCUGUGAACAGCGAGACGUCCGAGAGAUUUUAGCCGCACUCCACCACUUUGGUUCUGUCUGUGAUUCUUCAUACGAAAAGAGCUGGAACCCAUUUCCAAAGCAUCAUGUAAAUUUCCCCCAGAAGAGAGUAAAUUGAUUUCUGUACGAGUCUGCAUUCAGCUGAUGCCAGUAUACUAAUAAAAAACAGAAGUGAUGUUCAUGUUGUUGUGUACCCUGAGACAAAAUAUGACUCAUUUUCACAUCACAUGACUGUUGCUCUUGCUUUCUAAAAGGGAUCAGACUUAAUAUUUUCAUCUGGCGGAUGAUGAAAUGGGCGAUGGGUUCACAAAGAUUGC